rnacentral:rRNA from 1 species
UGAGUACGAGCUGCUACGGCAGCGAAGUGGGUGAUGUCAUGCUUCCAAGAAAAGCCCUAUACCCGUUAAGGCAUGAUGGCCUGUACCCGAAACCGACACAGGUGGGGUGGUAGAGAAUACCGAGGGGCGCGAGGUAACUCUCUCUAAGGAACUCGGCAAAAUGGCCCCGUAACUUCGGGAGAAGGGGUGCCACCGCAAGGUGGUCGCAGUGAAGAGGCCCAGGCGACUGUUUACCAAAAACACAGGUCUCCGCUAAGUCGCAAGACAAUGUAUGGGGGCUGACGCCUGCCCAGUGCCGGAAGGUUAAGGAAGCUGGUCAGCGUAAGCGAAGCUAGCGACUGAAGCCCCGGUGAACGGCGGCCGUAACAAUAACGGUCCUAAGGUAGCGAAAUUCCUUGUCGGGUAAGUUCCGACCCGCACGAAAGGCGUAACGAUCUGGGCGCUGUCUCGGAGAGAGGCUCGGCGAAAUAGAAUUGUCUGUGAAGAUGCGGACUACGUGCACCCGGACAGAAAGACCCUAUGAAGCUUUACUGUAGCUUGGUAUUGUGCUCGGGCUCGGAAUGCGCAGGAUAGGUGGGAGGCUAUGAACCAUUGCUUGUGGGUGAUGGUGAGCCACUGGUGAGAUACCACUCUUUCCGAGCUAGAGUUCUAACAGCCACCCGUUAUCCGGGGGCUGGACAGUAUCAGGUGGGCAGUUUGACUGGGGCGGUCGCCUCCUAAAAGGUAACGGAGGCGCGCAAAGGUUUGCUCAGGCUGGUUGGAAAUCAGCCGACGAGUGUAAAAGCAGAAGCAAGCUUGACUGUGAGACCUACAAGUCGAACAGGGAGGAAACUCGGCUUUAGUGAUCCGACGGUUCUGCGUGGAAGGGCCGUCGCUCAACGGAUAAAAGUUACUCUAAGGAUAACAGGCUGAUCUCCCCCAAGAGUUCACAUCGACGGGGAGGUUUGGCACCUCGAUGUCGGCUCAUCGCAACCUGGGGCUGAAGUCGGUCCCAAGGGUUGGGCUGUUCGCCCAUUAAAGCGGUACGCGAGCUGGGUUCAGAACGUCGUGAGACAGUUCGGUCCAUAUCCGGUGCAUGCGCAGGAAUAUUGAGAGGAUUUCUCCCUAGUACGAGAGGACCGGGAGGAACGCACCUCUGGUGUACCAGUUAUCGUGCCAACGGUAAACACUGGGUAGCCAUGUGCGGAGAGGAUAACCGCUGAAAGCAUCUAAGUGGGAAGCCCACCUCAAGAUGAGUAUUCCCAUGGGGUAACCCAGUAAGGUCACGGGAAGAACACCCGUUGAUAGGCUCUACGUGGAAGCGCAGUAAUGUGUGAAGCGGAGGAGUACUAAUAGACCGAGGGCUUG